UAUGGCAGAUUAUAUGUAAUGGA
rnacentral:tRNA from 46 species